rnacentral:rRNA from 1 species
GACAGAGGUGGCGAGCGUUGUUCGGAAUCACUGGGCUUAAAGGGCGCGUAGGUGGUAGUGCAAGUCUGAGGUGGAAUCCUAUGGCUUAACCAUAGAACUGCCUUGGAAACUGUAUUACUUGAGUCAGUGAGGGGAGGGUAGAAUUCCUGGUGUAGCGGUGAAAUGCGUAGAUAUCAGGAGGAAGGCCGGUGGCGAAGGCGGCCCUCUGGCGCUGAACUGACACUGAGGCGCGAAAGCGUGGGUAGCAAACAGG